GCUACAUAUGGAACUUGUAGAUUGUCACUGCUGUCCUCUGUUAAGUCUUUGGCACUGCAUUUGCAUAGAUACAGCUGUUGUUGCUUUGGCCUGUGACAAGCUGUUCCAUCACUUUCCAGGUGAGUUUUAACAUGUUGAGUGACAUCCAUGUCUCGGUACUUUUGGAAAAAAAUCUGUAAGAGAUCAAGAAGGCGUAUCAGUUCUUAGCAGAUAACUCUGUACCUGGGGAACAAGCCCC